CCCCUUUCAUUUGUGUUAAUUUGUUUCUGUAUCAGAUGAAGAAGCAAAUUACUCUCUCUACCAUCAUCCAACUUCUAGAUUAAACCCAAUCAGCCGUUUCAUUUCCCAAUAUAGCCAACCAUAGCCAGCUCUUCUAAAAGGGCCAAAUCUCCAACCUAGAACUCCAAAUGAAUGCUACCUCCAAAGGUGUUCUAAAAGAGCUGAUCAUAGCAUAGCUGGCUCUAACUUCCUACAAUGUGAAUUUAUAUUAUGCUUGUCCAGCUCUCCCUGUCUCCAAAUCCUGCAGGCUUACUCUUCCCAUCUCAGUGUAUCCAUGAUUGUAAGACGUGAGACGAAUUAGCCCCCAGAAAGUCUCGUGGGGGGAGGUGAAUGGAAGAUCUUCCCCAGUCAUAAUGGUGACACAUUAAAAUCGUAUGUUUUACUGUUUACAAAGGUAGAAAAACAAAACAUAUUCUAAAAAAAAAUCUCCUUCUACACAUCACUUUUAAACAAUUUAAUUUCAACAGGACUAUGCAUUUAAAAUAAGCCCAUUAUUGAAUAACUGAUUAUCUUUAUGAUAAAUGUUACAUAUAUAUAAAGGCAGGGUCAGGAAGCUGAUUUCAGUCUAUGGAAACCUGCAUGAUUUAACAAAUAAUCCCUAAGGGGUGUAUAUUUUUGUGAAAGUCUGUACCCCUUCCCAGAAUCUUCUUUGGUUUCUGUAUCACCUUAUUUAUCACAUCAGUCACUGCUAAACCUCAUAGCUGGGAACUUUGCAACACACUGUAUAGAGAAAACACAGGGCCUAUACACUAAACACCAAACUGUGGUUUAUUGAACCUGGAAUUAUGAACUAUGAUAAAAAGGGAGAUUUUUCUAAAAAUCCUCUCAAAGGGCUUUAUUCACAGCCUGACCAGUUCAUCGUAAAGUUUACAAUUUAUUUUUCAGUUCACAACAAUUUAGUGUUUAGUGAAUUCUGGCAAUCUUUUUGCCCAAAUCCUUUCUGACUGCGUUAUUCAUAUUAUGUCAUGGUCUGAUCUCUCUUACCGUUACUUUAUACAUUUGGAAGGUAAUACCAACAAAGUACCAACAAUGUAGCGUAUCAGAACCUGAGCCAGUAAAAUGCUCCACUUGAUGUGAGUUCAGUGAAUCAGGAAUAUCCUAAUAUGGGCUGAGAUUUUUGUAUUGCACUGCACUGUAUCUAACUAGCUUUACAACAUGCAUGGGGGUGCAUAGAAUACAGAAACACAAUAUUAAACCUAAAUAUUACACCAACACCCAAAAAGGUAACAACUUUUUUUUUUUAUAGCAUGAUACCAUCCAGAGAUUUUAGUAUAAUAGUAUCCUGUCUGUGAAUUAAGUGCUGGGUCUGUAAUUACUCUGUGUAUUCUGAUUUCCCUCUAGCAGUCUGCAAAGAGAGGGGUUAGUUGGUUAUGUUUAUUGCCAGAAGGAGUGGGCAUCUGGUGGUACUAUAAUUAUGAGGAGGAAGAGUUGGCAUGGUUUUAGAGGAGGGAAGGAGAUUUCUCCAGCGCCUAGUAUAAUAAAUGGUGCAGUAUCAUAGAUCACCCUUUAACAGAAAGUGCUACAGAGUCCUGUAUUUAAAAUGUUAACCCUCAACCCACUGAAUGAGGGUAUAUCUUUAUUCCUUCCACCCCCACCCCCACCCAUUCAUAUUGUUAAACAAUAUGCAGCUGUACAAAAAGUAUAAAAUAGGAGGAACCUUGCGCAUGCUCUGAUACACUGAAUUGCUGAGACAAGAGGAGAGAUUAACCCCUUAAGGACACAACUUCUGGAAUAAAAGGGAAUCAUGGCGGAAUUAAGGGGUUAAAGGGACACUACAGACAUCAAUACCACUUCAUCUUAGCAUUUAAUUGGAGGAGUGUAGCGAUUGGUUGCACAUGCGUAUCUCCAAUACAAUGCUCCUCUAUGUAAAGCAUUAGAUUGGUUGAGAUUGCAGAAGACUUCAGCUGGCGUUCUGACGUCUUCGGGGGCGGAGCAAGAAGCUGCAAUGGAGGAGUCUCAAUUCUGUAAACGAAGUAAUAGUUAACGUUAAUUUUACACAGAAAACGGUGCUGGACAGCUAUUACACUGCCAGAAGGGAAUCUAUAGUCCCAAAAAAAUAACGAUUGUUAUUAUGCUGAUGCAAAUGGAGGAUUAAUGAUACUUUGCAGAGACACAAGCACUAAAUACAU